AUGAGCAGGUCGGAGUCGGCGCCGGGGGCAGCACCGGCCGUGGUGGUGAAGACGGUGGACCUGCAAACGGCGGCGACACCGGACGUGGGGGCGACGACGGUGGACGUGCAGACGACGGUGGCACCGGACGUGGGGGUGACGACGGUGGACGUGCAAAUGGCGGCGGCACGGGCCGUGGCGGUGACGACGGUGGACGUGCAGACGGCGGCGAGGGAGCUCCAGGAGCAGCAGGACGGCAUGAUGUACCUGGACGUGAGGACGGAGGAGGAGAUGGGGAAGGGCCACAUCCGCGGCUCCCUCAACGUCCCCUACUUCUUCGUCACGCCACAAGGGACCCGGGAGAAGAACCCACGGUUCGUGGAGCAGGUCGCCUCGCUCUUCAGCACAGACCAACACAUACUCGUCUUGUACUACUAUACUACUACCACUAAUCAUCCAUGGAUGGAGGAGCAGGGGUGUCAGAGCGGCAAGAGGUCCGAGCUUGCCUGCAUCGAUCUUCUAGCAGCUGGAUUCAUGAAUGUGAAGAACGUGGGAGGAGGCUACGCUGCAUGGCUGCACAACGGACUCCCAGUGACAGUAGCAGUCCCCACGCCGCCACCAACACCUGAAUCUGCUGCAGCAAUCUGA
rnacentral:rRNA from 1 species